CCUGCCAACUGUUUAAUCCGCCGGAAGGAGGGCGCAGCAUUGCCGGUCUUCUCAUUGCCUGGCUGCUAGAGGAAACCCGAAGUCGGGAUUCUUUCUUUCCUGCUCUGAGAGGGACCAGGUCCCUCCUCCGUAGCUUUUGUCUCUCUAUUGCCUGCGCCGUGUCCUGGACUGCUCACGGGAGUUCUGCAGGAGACGCCGGAAUAUCUGGAAGCUGAAAAAUGGAAAUAAAUGGAAAGACCAGAAUAUUGAAGAUCACUACAGAAAUCUAAGAGGCAGUUGGAUCACUUGAACCUGGG
rnacentral:lncRNA from 1 species